UACAUGGUCAACAUGCUGAAAAAUCUUAUUUACACAUUCAAUGAUAAAAUUGUGUAAAGGUGAAACUUUACAUGAUUUACGGAACAAACAGCAAUCUUCUUACAAAUUUAAUCAUUUUUGUAAAUACUUCAUUUCCAUUAUUAAAAUGACUAACUCUUUACAACAUUUUAAAAUAUCCAUUAUAUUGGAUCACUCAUUCUCUAAAUAUUUCAAAUAUUUGUUUAAAAAAAGCAUAGAAAUAAUAAAAGGUAUGAUGCCGAGGGAGACAACCAGUGGACAGGGAUAUUAAAAAAAUAAGUUGCUGUACAACCUUCAAUAAUGAGCAUAAAAACAUAUCCUAUAUCAAGCUAUUACAUGCCCUGUCAAUUUUUCUGCAAUUAUUCUAUCUUUUUUAUUACUUUCUAAACAUGUAUUUGAAGUUCAAUGUUUACAAUUAUUUCAGAUAGAUGUUUUCAACUACUCAUGAACACAAAAUAAAUCAAAAUUCAAGAUAAAUGUAAAGUAACAAAAUUAUAUUGCACCUGUGUGUAAAAUAUUUAGCGAAUAGGAGAAUAUAUAUAUAUAUCCAUUGUUUGUUUUUUCUGAUGCAACAUAUCACUUUGUCCUCUAUCCUAUUCAAGUUAACCAGUCUGUAGAAAACACAAAUGCAUGGUUGAUAUAUUUUUUUAAAGAAAACUAUAAGAUGAGAUUGCAACUUAAUAUAGUGGCUUACUAUGUUGCCUACAAUUGCUUACAUCAACUUCAUUUCAACUUCAGUAGAUAGUUGUCACAUUGGCAAUCAUAACACCUCUCCUAAUCUUAGGCUUAUAUUAUUGAAAAAGCAAAAAAAGGGCAUAAUUGUCAAAUACAUUUUUUUAAAUUCAUCUGCAUACAUAAACAAAAAAUAUUAAGAUGAAGAUAUAGGAAGAGACAACUCUCCAUCCAAAUAACAAUUUAUAAAAGUAAACCAUUAUAGGUCAAUGUACACACUCAAAAGCACUUUUUAUCAUUCUAUACCAAAGGUUACAAGGAACAUAUUAAAAAUUAACAACAUAAAAUUUUGGGAUUCUCAAAUGCAUGUUGAUGGUGUUAAGUUAAUCAAAGGGGUGUAAUUCAGUCUGGCAAUGACAAAGCAAUUAUGAUAGGCCUCCCUGAGCCUUAAAGAUAAAAGUAAUAAAGGGCUGUACCUUUUUUUUCUUGUGUGGUAGUGAUUUCAUGCCAUGAGCUGAAUCACUAUAUCCUUUCUUUUCCAUAAAUAUUUCAAGCACUAUAUAACAGUUAUACAUUGUAUAACAUAUUCAAUUUGAAAAUAUCAACAAAGUUACAAAUCAUUACAAGUGUUAAUCACCAGCAACAUAUUACAUAUAGAAACAAUUCUAUAAACUAAAACUACAUGUAUCAAUCCAUUUGUUGUUCACAUAGAGAUGUGUAUAUCUUGAUAAACCAAAACUCUUCAGGAUACAAAAAAAAAUGGAACUCUGAUGUAAGUAAUAAUUUGUCAAAAUUUAAAUUACUUUAUUCUCUACUCUUAAGCAUGCAUGUUUAACUGUUGGAAAAAACCAGGCUUAACAAAUUUGACAAUGUGUGUGAUAAAAUUCUCUUUUUUAUAUGAUCCAAAUUUUAACAAAGCUCCAUCAUACAAUGUUAUUAAACCAAAGCAUUUACUGGGAUUCUUAUACCUUAACACUUGAUUUUCAUCCCUUCUGACUAUGACAGGUUGAAUAAGAAUGCAUAAUAAUUCCCAUUUCUCUAUCUAAGUUAAACCAAAUUAUCAAACAACAAAAUUUCCUCAGUAAUCCAACAGGCAUUGUGUUCAAAAUCUAGAAAGACAUUAAAAUUUGUCACUACAGUUAAACCUCUAUCAUCAUGUAUAUGUAUUUACAGUAUAAAACUAUUUACAAAAUUACUGUGGAGAUAUAAUAUUAACAAAAUCAAUAUCACUAUAAAAUUCUGACUAA
rnacentral:lncRNA from 1 species